rnacentral:tRNA from 1 species
GCCUAUAGCUCAGUUGGUUAGAGCACUUGACUCAUAAUCAAGGGGUCCCUGGUUCGAGCCCAGGUG